AUCGCUUCUCAGCCUUUUGGCUAAGAUCACGUGUAGUAUCUGUUCUUAUCAGUUUAAUAUAUUAUCAUUUUUUUCAUUGUCCAUUUCCAUUAUGUUAAUGGAAGCUCCCUAGUGGCUAAGAGAUAGGGAACAAAAU
rnacentral:snRNA from 1 species